CGNACUNGCUCAGUAACACGUGUUAUAACCUGCCCUUAGGUCCGGCAUAACCCCGGGAAACUGGGGAUAAUUCUGGAUAGAUCAUAGAUGCUGGAAUGCGCUUUGAUCCAAAGCUAUUGUGCCUAAGGAUGGGUCUGCGGUCUAUCAGGUUGUAGUGGGUGUAACGUACCUACUAGCCUACGACGGAUACGGGUUGUGGGAGCAAGAGCCCGGAGAUGGAUUCUGAGACAUGAAUCCAGGCCCUACGGGGCGCAGCAGGCGCGAAAACUUUACAAUGCGGGGAACCGCGAUAAGGGGACACCGAGUGCCANCAUCCUAUGUUGGCUGUCCAUAUGUCUAAAUCACAUGUGUUAGCAAGGGCCGGGCAAGACCNGUGCCAGCCGCCGCGGUAACACCGGCNGCCCGAGUGGUGGCCACUAUUAUUGGGUCUAAAGGGUCCGUANCCGGUUUGGUCAGUCUUCCGGGAAAUCUGACGGCUCAACCGUUANGCUUUCGGGGGA
rnacentral:rRNA from 1 species